CCUACGGGAGGCAGCAGUGAGGAAUAUUGGUCAAUGGGCGGGAGCCUGAACCAGCCAAGUCGCGUGAGGGAAGACGGUCCUAUGGAUUGUAAACCUCUUUGGGCGGGGAGCAAUGCCGGGCACGCGUGCCCGGAGGGAGAGUACCCGCAGAAUAAGCAUCGGCUAACUCCGUGCCAGCAGCCGCGGUAAUACGGAGGAUGCGAGCGUUAUCCGGAUUUAUUGGGUUUAAAGGGUGCGUAGGCGGAUUUUUAAGUCAGCGGUAAAAUGUCCGGGCUCAACCCGGGCCGGCCGUUGAAACUGGGGAGCUUGAGUGGGCGAGAAGUAUGCGGAAUGCGUGGUGUAGCGGUGAAAUGCAUAGAUAUCACGCAGAACUCCGAUUGCGAAGGCAGCAUACCGGCGCCCGACUGACGCUGAGGCACGAAAGCGUGGGGAUCGAACAGGAUUAGAUACCCCGGUAGUC
rnacentral:rRNA from 1 species